GCCCGCUUGGCUUAGUGGUAAAGCGCAUCACUAGUAACCUGUUCUAGUGUUAUGAUGAGAUCACUGGUUCGAUUCCAGUAGUGGGCA